GAAGCUGGCCGGACGGUCGCUGUGCAGGGAUGCUUGCAUGGAGGAAAGUCCGGGCUCCGCAGAGCAGGGUGCCGGGUAACGCCCGGCCGCUAUAAGCGGUCGUUGUGUAGCAACAGCGGCCGGCCAAGGCGAGGAACAGGGCCACAGAGACGAGUCGGCGGAUGCAACGCAUCCGCCGGGUGAAACGCGGCAACCUCCACCCGGAGCAACACCAAGUAGGCGGACACCGACGCUGCUCGCCGAGUCCGCGGGUAGGUGGCUAGAGCCCUGGGGCGACUCAGGGCCCAGAGGAAUGACCGUUGCGGGAGGCGACUCCCGACAGAACCCGGCUUACAGGCUGGCUUCGACA
rfam:Betaproteobacteria bacterium RIFCSPLOWO2_12_FTLL_62_13b rifcsplowo2_12_scaffold_2575, whole genome shotgun sequence.